rnacentral:rRNA from 1 species
GACGAACGCUGGCGGCGUGCCUAAUACAUGCAAGUUGAGCGCUGAAGGUUGGUACUUGUACCAACUGGAUGAGCAGCGAACGGGUGAGUAACGCAUGGGGAAUCUGCCUUUGAGCGGGGGACAACAUUUGGAAACGAAUGCUAAUACCGCAUAAAAACUUUAAACACAAGUUUUAAGUUUGAAAGAUGCAAUUACAUCACUCAAAGAUGAUCCCGCGUUGUAUUAGCUAGUUGGUGAGGUAAAGGCUCACCAAGGCGAUGAUACAUAGCCGACCUGAGAGGGUGAUCGGCCACAUUGGGACUGAGACACGGCCCAAACUCCUACGGGAGGCAGCAGUAGGGAAUCUUCGGCAAUGGACGAAAGUCUGACCGAGCAACGCCGCGUGAGUGAAGAAGGGUUUCGGAUCGUAAAACUCUGUUGGUAGAGAAGAACGUUGGUGAGAGUGGAAAGCUCAUCAAGUGACGGUAACUACCCAGAAAGGGACGGCUAACUACGUG